rnacentral:lncRNA from 1 species
GUUCAUUUGACCUCCUCCUCUAAAUCAAUUAAAUCCUCUAAAAUUAUUAGGUCCUUAAAAUGAAAUAGUUAUGGUGAUAACUAGAUCAUAGCCUCCCAUUAAGUGGAUGAUAAUGGGUCCAUCAGUUGGAUAAUCAUUGGAGGCCCAAAGACCUGGUGAUUAUCGGCUGAUGGAAUUGUCAUUCAUAAUAUGAUUUCUUGACUGCAUCUUUCUAAAU